rnacentral:rRNA from 1 species
GACGAACGCUGGCGGCGUGCUUAACACAUGCAAGUCGAACGGAAAGGCCCUGCUUUUGUGGGGUGCUCGAGUGGCGAACGGGUGAGUAACACGUGAGUAACCUGCCCUUGACUUUGGGAUAACUUCAGGAAACUGGGGCUAAUACCGGAUAGGAUCUCCUGCUGCAUGGUGGGGGUUGGAACGUUUCGGCGGUUGGGGAUGGACUCGCGGCUUAUCGGCUUGUUGGUGGGGUAGUGGCUUACCAAGGCUUUGACGGGUAGCUGGCCUGGGAGGUUGACCGGCCACAUGGGGACUGAGGUACGGACCAGACUCGUACGGGAGGCAGCAGGGGGGAAUAUUGCACAAUGGGCGGAAGCCUGAGGCAGCAACGCCGCGUGCGGGAUGACGGCCUUCGGGUUGUAAACCGCUUUCGCCUGAGACGAAGCGGGAGUGACGGUAAUGGGUAAAGAAGCACCGGCUAACUACGUG